rnacentral:rRNA from 1 species
CCCUUAGAUGUCCUGGGCCGCACGCGCGCUACACUGACAUGUUCAACAAGCCUCCUAGUUCGACAGGAUUUGGGAAAUCUUUGAACGCAUGUCGUGAUAGGGAUAGAUCAUUGCAAUUAUUGAUCUUGAACGAGGAAUUCCUAGUAAACGCAAGUCAUCAGCUCGCAUUGAUUACGUCCCUGCCCUUUGUACACACCGCCCGUCGCACCUACCGAUUGAAUGUUUCGGUGAAGAUUCCGGAUAGGACUUUUUUGAUUUAUUUCAAUUUUGUCUUAAAAGCUAUCUAAACCUCAACAUUUAGAGGAAGGUGAAGUCGUAACA